AAUGCACCAAUUUGUAUGUCGCUCUGGAUAAGAGCGUCUGCUAAAUGACGUAAA
rfam:Salmo salar isolate Sally breed double haploid chromosome ssa11, whole genome shotgun sequence.